UACGUAGGGGGCAAGCGUUACCCGGAUUCACUGGGCGUAAAGCGCGUGUAGGCGGCUGGCCAAGCGUGGUGUGAAAUCUCCGGGCUCAACCCGGAAACUGCACUGCGAACUGGCCUGGCUGGAGUGCAGGAGAGGGAUGCGGAAUUCACGGUGUAGCGGUGAAAUGCGUAGAUAUCGUGAGGAACACCAGUGGCGAAGGCGGCGACCUGGGCAGAUACUGACACUGAGGUGCGAAAGCGUGGGGAGCAAACAGG
rnacentral:rRNA from 1 species